rnacentral:rRNA from 1 species
UCGGGAAUUUUGGGCAAUGGGCGAAAGCCUGACCCAGCAACGCCGCGUGGAUGAUGAAGGCCUUAGGGUUGUAAAAUCCUUUCGCCGAGGACGAUAAUGACGGUACUCGGAGAAGAAGCUCCGGCUAACUUCGUGCCAGCAGCCGCGGUAAUACGAAGGGGGCUAGCGUUGUUCGGAUUUACUGGGCGUAAAGCGCGUGUAGGCGGGUCGUUAAGUUGGGGGUGAAAUCCCGAGGCUCAACCUCGGAACUGCCUUCAAAACUGGCGACCUGGACCUAAGUAGAGGCAAGUGGAAUUGCGAGUGUAGAGGUGAAAUUCGUAGAUAUUCGCAGGAACACCAGUGGCGAAGGCGACUUGCUGGACUUAUGGUGACGCUGAGACGCGAAAGCGUGGGGAGCAAACAGGAUUAGAUACCCCUGUAGUCCCUGAGCGGGCUGGCAAGGCGCAU